rnacentral:rRNA from 1 species
AGAGUUUGAUCCUGGCUCAGAUUGAACGCUGGCGGCGUGCUUAACACAUGCAAGUCGAACGAGAAAGGGACUUCGGUCCUGAGUAGAGUGGCGCACGGGUGAGUAACGCGUAGGUAAUCUACCUCUGCAUCUGGGAUAACACUUCGAAAGGGGUGCUAAUACCGGAUACACUUAUGGACCGCAAGGUCUAUAAGGAAAGGAGACCUCUCCUUGGAAGUUUCUGUGUAGAGAUGAGCCUGCGUCCCAUUAGCUAGUUGGCAGGGUAAAGGCCUACCAAGGCGACGAUGGGUAGCGGGUCUGAGAGGAUGAUCCGCCACACUGGAACUGAAACACGGACCAGACUCCUACGGGAGGCAGCAGUGAGGAAUAUUGGACAAUGGGCGCAAGCCUGAUCCAGCGACGCCGCGUGAGUGAUGAAGGCCUUUGGGUCGUAAAGCUCUGUCAGCAGGGAAGAACGGCCGUGUGGUUAAUACCCAUGCGGAUUGACGGUACCUGCAGAGGAAGCACCGGCUAACUCCGUGCCAGCCGCCGCGGUAAUA